rnacentral:ncRNA from 1 species
CAACCUCAACUCAUAUGGGACUACCCCCUGAAUUUAAGCAUAUUAAUUAGGGGAGGAAAAGAAACUAACAAGGAUUUUCUUAGUAGCGGCGAGCGAAAAGAAAUCAGUUCAGCACUAAGUCACUUUGUCUAUAUGGCAAAUGUGAGAUGCAGUGUACGGAACAUCAACAUUCUAGUAUGAGAAGUUAACGAUUUAAGUCCUUCUUAAAUGAGGCCAUUUACCCAUAGAGGGUGCCAGGCCCGUAUAACGUUAAUGAUUACUAGAUGGUGUUUCCAAAGAGUCGUGUUGCUUGAUAGUGCAGCACUAAGUGGGUGGUAAACUCCAUCUAAAACUAAAUAUAACCAUGAGACCGAUAGUAAACAAGUACCGUGAGGGAAAGUUGAAAAGAACUCUGA